CUAAUACCGCGUAAGACCACAGCUUCACAUGGAGCGGGGGUCAAAGGAGCAAUCCGGAUAAAGAUGGGCUCGCGUCCGAUUAGCUAGUUGGUGAGAUAACAGCCCACCAAGGCGACGAUCGGUAGCCGACCUGAGAGGGUGAUCGGCCACAUUGGAACUGAGAGACGGUCCAGACUCCUACGGGAGGCAGCAGUGGGGAAUAUUGGGCAAUGGGCGAAAGCCUGACCCAGCAACGCCGCGUGAGGGAAGAAGGGUUUCGGCUCGUAAACCUCUGUCCUAUGGGACGAAGGAAGUGACGGUACCAUAGGAGGAAGCCCCGGCUAACUACGUGCCAGCAGCCGCGGUAAUACGUAGGGGGCGAGCGUUGUCCGGAAUGAUUGGGCGUAAAGGGCGCGUAGGCGGCCUGCUAAGUCUGGAGUGAAAGUCCUGCUUUCAAGGUGGGAAUUGCUUUGGAUACUGGUGGGCUGGAGUGCAGGAGAGGAAAGCGGAAUUACCGGUGUAGCGGUGAAAUGCGUAGAGAUCGGCAGGAACACCAGUGGCGAAGGCGGCUUUCUGGACUGAAACUGACGCUGAGGCGCGAAAGCGUGGGGAGCAAACAGGAUUAGAUACCCUGGUAGUCCACGCGGUAAAC
rnacentral:rRNA from 1 species